CGAACGGGUGAGUAACGCGUGAGCAACCUGCCUAUGACAGUGGGAUAGCCUCGGGAAACCGGGAUUAAUACCGCAUAAAAUCGUAGAAACACAUGUUUUAACGGUCAAAGAUUUAUCGGUCAUAGAUGGGCUCGCGUCUGAUUAGCUAGUUGGUGAGAUAACAGCCACCAAGGCGACGAUCAGUAGCCGGUCUGAGAGGAUGAACGGCCACAUUGGAACUGAGACACGGUCCAA
rnacentral:rRNA from 1 species